UCCCCUCGCCGCCCUGGCACUCUCCCCCACCCAGCAUCCUGCCCCGCCCCAACCGGCCUCCGCUCUACAUCGUCGGUGUGCUGUCCCGCCUGGCGGCCUCGUGGCGACUGCCCCAUGAACUGCUCGCGGACGACCUCGCAACUGCAGAGCUGUCGUGCUCAUGUCCACCAGGAUCCAACCCCGCUCCACUUGCAAUUGCGGCCUGCGGUAGACCUUAUCAGAACGUCGUCUCUAUUCGGUAAGGACUACCAUGAGUGGAGCAGGGUCUGAAGGAUGGAAGGUUUCAUCCAUCCCAUCGUCAUCUGACUUGCGAUCUGAUUCAUCCCCUCGUCUGAUUUUGUGCCAGUCAUUAUGUAUUUGAUCACUAAACCACCGCCCUUUUUCGCCUCUUUGGUAGCUGAAGGCAUCACAGGCGAAAGAUUGUACGAAUAAGCCCCCAUCUGAUCUGGGAUUCUGAUUCUCCUCAUUCAUAUCAUGUUUCAUACAUAUUUUAUUUUUGCAUCAUCGGUCCAUACAUUUUGCUUCAUAUUUACCAUUCAUUUGCUUCUUAACUGCAGUACAGUUCGUUUCAUAUUUGCCAUGCUAACGUUUCUUCAUCGAGUACAGUUUGCUUCACACAUUUCAGAGUUGUGCUUCUACCUUAUGUUUAGUUUGUUUACUCCGCAUGCUUCAUGAGAGCUUGUACAUGUCAUGUUUUUACUUAAUCGACAACUAACUCAAGUGGCUUAAAUUUCACAUAUAUUAUACAGAAGAUGCAUGUCACCCAUUCUUGGUCUUAACUUGAAUGGCCAUGUAUAAAUCUUUUGUAUUCCCAUAAGAAACAAAAUGUGCUUCCACUAUAGAAAUUACUUUGAGAUUGUAUGAAUAUGAUGCAUCCAAAUUUUCAUACUUCAUAUAAAUCAUACUUGUGCUUCUUCGCGGUGAACAGUUUGCUUCACGUGCAUCAUAGUUAUGCUUCUUCACUAUGCAUAGCUUCAUAUAUUAUUUCACACUUUGCUUCUACAUUUUGUUCGGUUUGCUUCACACGCAUCAUAGGUAUGCUUCUUCACCAUGUAAAGCUUCAUAUCUUUCACACUUUGCUUCUACAUUUUGUUCGGUUUGCUUAUUUCCGGGCUUUGUACUGUAUCACAAGCAUCGUGCUUGUAUUCAAAGCAAAUACUUGUAAAUUUCGGCAGGGUUGAUGGGAUCCAAAAAAGCAUGCUUUGUUGAUGGUGAGCAUGUCGUGGUGAUCGAUGGUGGGCAUGCCGUGCAGCGUGUGAACGUAAAUGAGCAUCUCAGUGUCGAGUGUUAUUGGUCGUCGGCUUGGAAGCAAACUAGCCAGACGCGCGCUCCGUUGCUUGGAGAAAAAUGAUUUUUGAUUAUGAAGCAUAAUUUGUUCUGUUGGAAGCUUGAUUUUCAUAUGAUGGAUGCAAACUGAGCACAUUUGUAUUCGUUCUAAUCAUGCAGGCAACCCUAUUAUGGUUGAAGCAUGUGUUAUGUGUAAUCACGAUAAUGGUCAUUUUUUUUUAUGGAAACAAGGUCUUAGUUGGUCAGAAGUUCUCUAGUCGACGGAAACAAGAUUUUAAUGUUUAUGUAGCAAAUUUUUCCAUUGUGUA